GGUGUGGUAAAUAUAGGUAAAUAGAUGAAUCCGGCCUCUCACGCCGGAAACUCGGGUUCGAUUCCCGGUGGGAUCACCA
rnacentral:tRNA from 1 species